GAUUGAUUUGUAGAGCAUUAUUCUUUCAAUCUUCUACUUACACUAAAGCCAAUCACCCCUGUACCUGAUACUCAUUCAAUCUAGGUGGCGAUCAUACUGCUACUGUAUUAAGACUUAGUGAACUGAUCUAUUAUACAGUUCUUUAUAUCAACUCACUCUAUGAUCAUAUCAAGAAUGAGGUGAAAGUGCCUUAGGAUGUGCAUGGAUUUCUAAUGAGACCACAUCCAACUCAAUGAUGAACUCUUUCAUCAGACGAUAUUUCUUAGCUAUCUUCACUUACAGUAAUUUACUGAGUCAAUUACAGUUUGCUAUUUGAAACCCUUACAAUUCACUGUCUCUCUAGUACUUCUCAAGUAUUUG
rnacentral:lncRNA from 1 species